GCUUUCUUGGUGUAGUCGGUUAUCACGUCGGUCUCAUAGUUCUGGCUAUGACUAGCUUAAACAGUUAGCGAUCCGAAGGCCGCCAGUUCGAAUCUGGCAGAGAGCA